ACGGCCGCAAAGGUAAGGGUGAGUGGCGCGAGCACGAGGAUGCACGGACAGGCGAGAGGGAGGGAGAGAGCGCGCGGAUUCCGGUUGCUCGCUGUUUGAUGCGCUGCGGGCGCGGCUGUAGCUUCCUCCGUCCAGGCGUCCACCCGAUGCCGCUCCUCGCCACCCGACCCUAUAUAACGCCGCGCACGUCAGCGGCCACCGCGGGCCCCGCCACUGCCACCUCUUCCGGUACCUGCUCCCUCCGGGUCCGGCUCCGCGCACCAGGGAGAUCCGCCGCCUCCUCCUCCUCCUCCCGGCUCCCUCGCGCCAUGGCCGCCACCGGAGCCGAUGCCGCCGCCGCUCCCCCGUCCCUGCUCGUCUUUUCAGGUGGAACAGCAUUUAAUGGUGUCGUAGAAGAGUUGAAGAAAGUGACUACCCGGGUUGCGCAUGUCCUACCAGUUUCUGAUGAUGGUGGAAGCACAGCUGAGAUUGUUCGUGUGCUUGGUGGACCUGCUGUGGGUGACAUAAGAUCAAGAUGCUUGAGACUGUCCGAUGAAAGCACUUUGGAAGCACUCUCCGUCCGGAGAUUACUUGGGCACCGUUUGCCUCUUGAUCCUUCAGAAGCAAAGCUGGAGUGGUACAAUAUUGUGGAAGGAGAACACUCUUUAUGGGAUGGUGUCUCUCGUCCCUACAGGGAAACAAUCCGUGCAUUUUUGGUCUACUUCCAUAAUGAGAUCCUUCGGCGACCAGUUGAAACAUUUUGCUUCACCAAUGGCAGCAUUGGGAAUUUCUUUUUUGCUGGCGCACGCAUAUUCUUCCAGUCUUUGGAUGCUGCGAUCUUUUUGUUUUCACGUGUGUCACAAAUCCCUGCCGAAAGUCUUGUGCUUCCAGUAAUAUCCACAAAUGACAGGCUUACUCUGGGGUGUGAAUUAUGGGAUGGAACUAUUAUCCGAGGCCAAAAUGAAAUAUCACAUCCAAGCAAUGGCCGUAGAGAAGUUGUUGACAAGGACUCUAAUUCAUGCACCGCACUUCCUUCAAGCAUCAAGCGCGUCUUUUACAUGUCAAGUGAAGGUUGCAACCUAUUGCAUGAGGUGUUUCCUGAAGCUAACCAUACAGUUUUGGAGCAGCUAAGUAAGGUGGAUUGCAUUGUAUAUGCGAUGGGGUCGCUAUUUACAUCAGUUUGUCCAUCACUGGUACUGCGUGGCAUUGGUGAGACUAUAGCAUCAAGGUCCAUUCCCAAGGUACUUCUUUUAAAUGGAUCACAUGAUAGAGAAACUAUUGGGCUGUCUGCUUCUGGCUUUGUGACUGCAAUUACGGAUUCUCUAAAUCGGACAUAUGGUGAUCCUGACAAAAGUCUAAAGUAUCAUCCCAAAGACUAUGUUAAUGCCAUAUUGGUUCCUGAAGGAGGCCAAAUUCCUUUAGAUGUUGAACAUUUGGCAUCUAAAAGAAUUUUUCAUGUGGAGGUGUUCCUGUCGGACAUGACCAAUGACAAUCAAGGUCCGACCUAAAUGGAGUAUGAAUUGGGGGGCACCUCAUUUGAAGUUGGGACAACAUCCGAUCCCAAUCCGAGCAAGACGAAGGGAAAGAUGGCGAAGGCAAGAGGUCCGGCAUUCUCAACUUUUGAGGACAUCUUGUUGGUCAAAGAUUGGUUGGCCACAACGAUGGAUCCAAUUUGCGGCACCGAGCAAAAGGGGAACAAGUAUUGGGAGAAGAUUUGGAUGGAGUAUCACGAACAAAAGGAAUAUGUGGAGCCGCAUCCUAUCAUGACCAACCGCAAUAUGGCAUCUCUCCAACAUCGAUGGGGGAUCAUUCAAGGGGAAGUGAACAGUACGUCAGCUACUACUCACAAGUGACCAAACGCCCUCAAAGUGGGAUGGGAGUGGCAACUCACACGCUGGUGGCGGCCACUUUGUAUCAUGAAACGGAGAAGCCGUUUGCUUUUAGCCAUUGUUGGAUCAUAUUGAAAGGAGUGCCAAGAAGGACACAACUUGUGGCCGAUCUCAAGGCCGGCAAGAAGAGGAAUGAUGGCUCAAGCUCCCACCAAUCUAUUGGGUUGGCCGAUGAAGAGGACGAUAUUGUCGUCGAGAAUGGGAGAGCCACCGUGCCAAGGAUAAGCGACAAGUCAUGGGAAACAAGUGGGAGAAGGCAAGGGCCUCCCGUGAUGCCGCGGCUACAAAAAUGUCCUCCACAUGGGCGGGCAUUUUUUCAGCGAGGGAGAACAAGAAAGAGCAGAGGUACAAGCUCAUGUUGGAUGCGCAAAAGGAGAAGAUGGAUGGGGACCGGAAGAGGACGGAGAAGAAGCUGGAAAUUGAGAGGGAGAAGAUCGAGUUGGAGAAGCAAGAGGCGGCGAUCAAAUGGGAGCUCGAGAAGGUCAAGACAUUUGGAGAGAUUGAGGUUGAGAAGGAGAGGUUGCAACUCGCAUGGGACGCGGAGGAUGCGAAGAUCAUGUUGGCGGACGAAACCCUCUUGGAUGAGCAUGCAAAGAAGUUGCUUGUGGAGCAGAAGUUCAACGAGCCUAGGGAGUACGAGGCGGCGAGGAUGGCUGCGGCAAUAACGGAGCAUGCGGCAAGGAUGCAGGCGGAGCAGGACGCAAGGAUGGCCUCGGAGCAGGCGGCAUGGUUGGCGUCCGGCGAGUGAUCCGGCCAACAAGCGAGGCAUCCGUCACGCUCAGACAUUGAUUUCAUUUUGGCAUGUGUUGAACUAUGACUUGCUUUGCUUUGUUUUGGACUGUUGAAUUCGGACAAUUUGUAUCGUAUGAUUGACGUGCAUGGAUUGCAUGGAUUUGAGGCUCCGCAUUUGAGGUAUGUGGAUAUGCGGCAGCCCAUAUGAGGGGCUGGCGGGCGCUGUCCGCGGCCGCGGCCGCGGGUGUAUAGGGGGCCGGAUUUGCCCAGUCCGGCUGUAGAUGCUCUUAUAUUCCUUAAAGCUUGUCUUCUUUGACUGCUGACCUGGAUAAGUGCAUGGAUGAACCGAUGGGCAUAUGAACCCACUUUGGAACCUGUUGGUACACUAGUUUUUAAUUUGUUUCCAUGCUGCUUGGGAUUUUCAUCGCACAAUCCAGUUGCACCUAUAGAUCUUCAUCCCCAUUAUGUAAAACAGAAUCUAGAUCAGAUUAUAAGUUCAUUGUUGCUUAAAUGAUGGUAAUUGAUGCAGAUUUUACACUGUUUCCUGUUGCAGCUUUUUUAGAUAAACCUGGUUAAACAAGCUUACUUUAGAAUCACAACAUUACAAACUUGACUGAUGUAAUAGUCCCCUUAGACCUUACCGUAAUCAUGACUGAUGUUGAUGCCUAAUUCUCUACUUGCUGCUUUGUCUUGGAUCCUUGACCUGUAUGGCAUUAGUCACAAGCUUCUGUAGUCACUAUGCUUUUACUAACAUCAGUCGUUUCGAUGUACGUAUGUUGCAGUUAACCGUGAAAUCUGUACGCGACACGAAGGUGGGUGUCAUUUUUGAU